rnacentral:rRNA from 1 species
CCUACGGGAGGCAGCAGUGGGGAAUAUUGGGCAAUGGGCGCAAGCCUGACCCAGCAACGCCGCGUGAAGGAAGAAGGCUUUCGGGUUGUAAACUUCUUUUCUCAGGGACGAAGAAAGUGACGGUACCUGAGGAAUAAGCCACGGCUAACUACGUGCCAGCAGCCGCGGUAAUACGUAGGUGGCAAGCGUUAUCCGGAUUUACUGGGUGUAAAGGGCGUGUAGGCGGGAAAGCAAGUCAGAUGUGAAAACCAUGGGCUCAACCUGUGGCCUGCAUUUGAAACUGUUUUUCUUGAGUACUGGGGAGGCAGACGGAAUUCCUAGUGUAGCGGUGAAAUGCGUAGAUAUUAGGAGGAACACCAGUGGCGAAGGCGGUCUGCUGGACAGCAACUGACGCUGAGGCGCGGAGGCGUGGGGAGCAAACAGGAUUAGAUACCCCUGUAGUC